rnacentral:rRNA from 1 species
ACCAGGAUUAGAUACCCUACUAUAAUUAAAGUAAAUUUAUACCGGAGUACUAGUAGUUAUUUUCUUUAAAUUCAAAGAAUUUGGCGGUAUUUUAGUCCUUUUAGAGGAACCUGUUUUAUAAACGAUAAACCACGAAUAUCUUACCUGUUUUAUGUUUGUAUACCGUCAUUAUCAGACAAUUUUAAAAGAGUAAAUUGUUGAAAAUAAAAUAGUUAAAAAAAUUAGAUCAAGGUGCAGCUUAUGUUCAGGAGAAAAUGGGUUACAAUAAAAAUAGUUUAAUAUGGAGCUUUUUCUGAAAUUGGAGAAGUGAAGGUGGAUUUAAUUGUAAUUAUGUUUGAUUAAAAAAAUUUGAUAUAGGCUCUAAAAUAUGUACAUAUCGCCCGUCGC